rnacentral:rRNA from 1 species
AUUGAACGCUGGCGGCAUGCUUUACACAUGCAAGUCGAACGGCAGCGCGGGCUUCGGCCUGGCGGCGAGUGGCGAACGGGUGAGUAAUGCAUCGGAACGUGCCCAGUAGUGGGGGAUAGCCCGGCGAAAGCCGGAUUAAUACCGCAUAAGACCUGAGGGUGAAAGCGGGGGACCGAAAGGCCUCGCGCUAUUGGAGGGGCCGAUGUCGGAUUGGCUAGUUGGUGGGGUAAAGGCUUACCAAGGCGACUAUCCGUGGCUGGUCUGAGAGGACGACCAGCCACACUGGGACUGAGACACGGCCCAGACUCCUACGGGAGGCAGCAGUGGGGAAUUUUGGACAAUGGUGGCAACCCUGAUCCAGCCAUGCCGCGUGCGAGAAGAAGGCCUUCGGGUUGUAAACCGCUUUUGUUCGGGAAGAAAUCCUCUGGGCUAAUACCCCGGGGGGAUGACGGUACCGGAAGAAUAAGCACCGGCUAACUACGUG